GACGAACGCUGGCGGCGUGCUUAACACAUGCAAGUCGAACGGAAAGGCCCUGCUUUUGUGGGGUGCUCGAGUGGCGAACGGGUGAGUAACACGUGAGUAACCUGCCCUUGACUUUGGGAUAACUUCAGGAAACUGGGGCUAAUACCGGAUAGGAGCUCCUGCUGCAUGGUGGGGGUUGGAAAGUUUCGGCGGUUGGGGAUGGACUCGCGGCUUAUCAGCUUGUUGGUGGGGUAGUGGCUUACCAAGGCUUUGACGGGUAGCCGGCCUGAGAGGGUGACCGGCCAACAUGGGACUUGGGUGACGCCCCGGCUCCCAAGGGGGGGAAGAGGUGGGGAAAAUGGCACAAGGGGCGGAGGCCGAAGCAGGAAACGCGGGGUCGGGGAGGAGGCCUUCGGGGUUGAAAACGGUUUCGGCCGUGGAGGAGGGUUGGGGACGGUAAUGGGGUAAGAAGCACCGGCUAACUACGUG
rnacentral:rRNA from 1 species